AGACGAAGGUGGCUAGCGUUAUUCGGAUUUACUGGGCAUAAAGCGCGCGUAGGCGGCCUGGCCAGUCGGUGGUGAAAGCCCGCAGCUCAACUGCGGAACUGCCGCCGAUACUACCGGGCUUGAGUGCAGGAGGGGUGACUGGAACUCCAGGUGUAGCGGUGAAAUGCGUAGAUAUCUGGAGGAACACCAGAGGCGAAGGCGGGUCACUGGACUGCAACUGACGCUGAGGUGCGAAAGUUAGGGGAGCGAACAGGAUUAGAAACCCCGGUAGUCC
rnacentral:rRNA from 1 species